CCAUGAUGGGUGGUACUAGGGUUGUGAUCUUAUAUAAGAUUGGCUAGGUCCCCUUUGCCAUCACGAACAAACACAGUAAGCUCAUUUGUGGUUUUACCCAUCAAAGACCUCAAAGACUGGAGCAUGUGAUUAGGCAGAGGAAGACCUUGUCUAACAUAUCGGUGGUUCCGAUAUCGGCUAUUUCAAAAAAUAUGAUUGUCGAUUCAAGUAAGUGUGUUCUAAUUUCAUAUAAUAUAUCGAUCUCUAAAUUGUU
rnacentral:lncRNA from 1 species